rnacentral:rRNA from 1 species
UACGGAAGGGGCUAGCGUUGUUCGGAUUUACUGGGCGUAAAGCGCGCGUAGGCGGCCGUGCAAGUGAGGCGUGAAAGGCCUGGGCUCAACCUGGGAACUGCGCUUCAGACUGCAUGGCUUGAGUCCGGGAGAGGGUGGUGGAAUUCCCAGUGUAGAGGUGAAAUUCGUAGAUAUUGGGAGGAACACCGGUGGCGAAGGCGGCCACCUGGCCCGGUACUGACGCUCAAGUGCGAAAGCGUGGGUAGCAAACAGG